GCGGAUUGUAAACUCCUCGUCAAUGAGCAGAGUAAGACAUUGCAGUUAACAUGCGUAGGAUAGUCUGAUUAGUACACUCGAAGAGAGAAAGAGACAGGCAUCAACUCUAGUGCCAAGCAGCCGCAGGUAAUACAAGAGGUCUCGAGCUGUUGUUCGGAUUCAUUGGGCGUAAAGGGUGCGUAGGCGGUUUGGUAAGUCAGAUGUGAAAUUCCUGGGCUCAACCGAGGAACUGCAUUUGAUACUGCCAGACUAGAGUACUGGAGAGGAGACUGGAAUUCACGGUGUAGCAGUGAAAUGCGUAGAUAUCGUGAGGAAGUGCAGUGGCGAAUGCGAGUCUCUGGACAGUAACUGACGCUGAGGCACGAAGGCCAGGGGAGCAAACGGGAUUAUAUACCCCGGUAGUCCUGACAGUAAACGGUGCAACAGUAUGGUGUGGGACGGAAUCGAGCCCUUCCGUGCCGGAGCUAACGCGUUAAAACGUGCCAGACUGGGGAGUACGGUCGC
rnacentral:rRNA from 1 species